UUGAUUGAUUGUUUUCUGAAAAACAUCAGCACAGCACAGGACAGUACUACCCACCCUAAAUGUGUCGCUAUAUACAUUCUACAUAAGCUCUAUAGCAAUCACAUGUAAACAUCAUCAUCAUCAUCAUCAUCGUGAGGAAAUACUAGGACAGAAAAAGGCAAAGCUACAAUGAGGCAAUUGCCAAUAGCAGAUGCUCAGUCUCGGCCAGAGCUGCUCGUGUUUGCUGAGGUGGGAUGAGAACAGGGGGGAUUUUGGGGUGGGAGAGAGGCCGGGUUUCAGUGCUGGGGCUGAAGUGGCACAAGGCCGGUUCCCCGGCAGUGAUGGUCACCGUGGGGACCCCGCGCUGGCCUCCGGGCCCUGGCGCUGCCGGGCUGGGUGUUGUCAGAACCGCGGCUCUCCUGAGGGGAACAGCCAGGGAACUGUGCUGGUGUCGGCAUUGCUGCUCCUGCCAGAGCCCAGCUGCGCUCCGGCCCCGAGCCUCGGCCCACCCUGGCACGGCUCCGGCCCCGAGCCUCGGCCCACCCUGGCACGGCAGGGCUUCAGCCCCGAGCCUCGGCCCACCCUGGCGGGGCUCCAGCCCCCGGCACCUCAUGCCGUUCCCAAGGCUUCGGUCGCUCUCCCCGCAACGUGCCCGGGGAACCGGGGAUAAAACCCCCAAGUCAUGGCAAGGGGAGACCCCAGGAGACUCUAAUCUAUCUAUUGGCAGAGUUAAGGCUAUAAUAUUCUAUCUACAGAGGAUGGCUGAAUCCCUAGUGGUCUCUGGGGCUCAAAAAUUAAAGGAGAAGGUGGCAAUGGCUUGAGGCGCAGCAAGAUUCCCGCUCCCUUGGGAAAACAGUGUCUCUGGCCGGCUGGUGGUGGGCUUUGCUCCGGCUGGGGGACAGCUGUGUCCCCAUCUCACCCCACUCACACACGGAGGGCAAGUCCUCAAGGUGUGGAAGCGAGCGAGGAUCAAGCCCCAGGGCCUGGCCAGUCUCCCAGCCAUCCAAGGAGCUGGAGAGGAGCCAGCUCCUCCACACGGACUGGAGCAUCCAUCCCCCAGCGGCUCAGGCCUGGCAGCCCCCAGCCCCUCUCUCCAAAGGCAGCAGGGGUGCAGCAGCGCUGGCUGCAGGUGCUGCAUCCCUUUCCCACCCUCUGCAGCCUGCAAAGCCGCCCGGCCCAGGCUCCAUCACCCACCGGGACCCAGCUCAGCACCGAGGGGCUCGGGCCACUCCAGCACGAAGAAUGGCUUUGACAGCAAAGUGGGUGACCCCGGUUUGCCAGCAGGGGAAUGUCAGCUCUGAGACUGCUCUGACCCCCCAUUUGCUGAGUGGCAAGUGCCUCAUUACAGUGCAUAGUUAAAAAUCAAGGAAGCGGUACAAUAAAUCUGAAUUACAGUACA